UAGUUGGUGGAGAAUGGCAAACUGUUGUAGAAAAGUAAGUCUGACCAAGUCUCUGAUUUUGAUAAAAUACUGGAAUGAUGAUUUUUAUGUUGGUUUGUUUGUCGCCGAUUGAUUAAACUUACUGCUGUCUUCUAUUUUAUUGUUGAAGUGGGAUCAAAAUUUACAAUGCUCAAAGAAAUAGGUCUGGCCGGAAAUCAAUAGUGUGGCAAAACAUGGGGGGUAUUCCGGCACAACAAAAUGUGAAGGACUGUGGCAUAUUCAUCAUGCGGUACAUGAAGGAAAUAAUUGAGGAUAAGAACCUGGGUUUUGCUUCAAAGUGGCAGCGACGAUCCGAAUUGUUCUACACCCAAAAGGAUGUUGAUGUUGUGAGGUCAGAGUGGGCUAAGUUUGUGAUGAAGUAUCAUAUUGCAUAGCUGUGAUGGUUGUUCAAGGCAGGGCUCUUAUUUUGGUAUUUUGAUCACCUGCCUACUGCUAGCUGGUUUUAGUUUUUGCUUUAGUUAUAGGCAUGGUUAAUGCGCAGUUGAAGGCAUUUUUGUUUUGGUAUUUUGAUGAGCCUCCUGCUAGCUAGUUUUAGUUUUUGCUUUAGUUAUAGGCAUGGUUAAUGCAAUGUGGACGCGUUUAUGUUUUCCGGGCUUUAUGCAGUUAUAGCCACUUAGGCAAUGUUAAUUCUUAUGUAAAUGUUGGGAUGAAUAUUGCUGAUGAAUGAAAUGGCUUUUGGAAUCAA